rnacentral:snoRNA from 1 species
UCUGGGUCACAGAUUCAUGGAGAUAGAAAUGCAUUAUGUUUCUCAAAAUAUUUUUUGAGAAGAAAAAACAACUUAAAAUGACUGAGAUCCAGA